rnacentral:rRNA from 1 species
UACGUAGGGUGCAAGCGUUAAUCGGAAUUACUGGGCGUAAAGCGUGCGUAGGCGGUUUUGUAAGUCUGACGUGAAAUCCCCGGGCUCAACCUGGGAAUUGCGUUGGAGACUGCAAGGCUAGAAUCUGGCAGAGGGGGGUAGAAUUCCACGUGUAGCAGUGAAAUGCGUAGAGAUGUGGAGGAACACCGAUGGCGAAGGCAGCCCCCUGGGUCAAGAUUGACGCUCAUGCACGAAAGCGUGGGGAGCAAACAGG